AGCACCAUGGCUUAGCGGGCUAACGUGCCUGCCUUGUAAACAGGAGAUCCUGAGUUCAAGUCUCAGCAGUGCCU
rfam:Pelodiscus sinensis unplaced genomic scaffold scaffold285, whole genome shotgun sequence.